GGACUGAUUUAAAUAUUAAAAUCACUCCUUUCUAAUCCUCUGCUGUACGUUCAAACCUGAGGCCUUAAAUAGAAACACACAAGUAUCUGAUUGAAGGAACUUCUGCAGAGUCCUGGUUCCAGAACAUGAUGAUAGAAUUAUAGACAAACUUUAACAAAAGCUGCCUGAGAGUUUACAGGUUUUUAUGUUAGAUUUCUUCAGUAAUUUAAUGAGCGUUAUCAGCAAAAAUCAAGUGUUCAUUUGAUGAACUUCAUUUCCUAAAACAUCCAGAAUUGGAGCUCAUAUCUUUGGCAGCUGUAAAGUUUCUGCUCCUUCAAAGUUCACAACACAAUGAAUGAAUUCCUAAAACACUCUCAAUGCUGGAGAGCGUUUGUGAUGCUGAAGCAGUGACCAGUUUUUCUGUUUCUUCUCUGGAGAUACACAAUGAGGGACGUCUGCAGCGACUGAGAAAGAGUCUCACCACAUCCUGACAUGAGGAAAAAGACUUUAUUGAAGACUACAAUGAGAAAAACUAUCAGACAGCAGACGGCUGCAUUCAAGUCUGUAGCUGCUGAAUUCAUGGAUGAAUCAUCUGGCACUAGAGAAGAAGACCAUCAAACAUCCACGUCAGCUGAUGGAGGUCCAAGAGUCUCACCAAACAAACAACCUACAGAGUGAAGACCUCAAAUCUGAUUGGACGGCCUCCUAUUCAGCCACAUUUUAGGCUGUUAGAUUGUUCCAGAUAAGACAAGUACAAGAUUCUUCAGAGCCGUUCUACCACGAGCCUGACAGGAAGAACUCCAACAGCUACUGAAUGUUCCUGUGGUCCCUUCAAGGCUACAGGAGGAGUCCUACGAGG
ensembl:lncRNA